UAAAUCUCUCCUUUGGGUGUCCGCAUAACUCUUCUACCUGCUCUGAGCCGUUUGAAUGUUCUUCCUGAUCUUAACUAUCUUGGAUAUAGUCUCCUCUACUAGCUCCGGGCCAAACAAUUUUCUAUCGCCCACUUCUUCCCAACAAAUCGGCGAUCUGCAUGGGCGCCCAUAUAACGCCUCAUACGGAGCCAUGCCAAUGCUCACUUAGUAGCUGUUGUUGUAGGCAAACUCUAUCAGGGGUAGAUGGUCAUCCCAAUAGCCCCCAAAAUUAAGGACACAAGCUCAAAGCAUAUUCUU
rnacentral:lncRNA from 1 species